rnacentral:misc_RNA from 1 species
AGCGCGCAUUCUGCCUGAGUUGCAGCGCAGCUCCAAACGCCAC